GUAGUCCACGCCGUAAACGAUGUCGACUAGCCGUUGGGAACCUUAGAGUUUCUUGUGGCGCAGCUAACGCGAUAAGUCGACCGCCUGGGGAGUACGGCCGCAAGGUUAAAGCUCAAAUGAAUUGACGGGGGCCCGCACAAGCGGUGGAGCAUGUGGUUUAAUUCGAUGCAACGCGAAGAACCUUACCACCCCUUGACAUCCUGCGAACUUUCUAGAGAUAGAUUGGUGCCUUCGGGAGCGCAGAGACAGGUGCUGCAUGGCUGUCGUCAGCUCGUGUUGUGAAAUGUUGGGUUAAGUCCCGUAACGAGCGCAACCCUUGUCCUUAGUUGCCAGCGAGUAAUGUCGGGAACUCUAAGGAGACUGCCGGUGACAAACCGGAGGAAGGUGGGGACGACGUCAAGUCAUCAUGGCCCUUACGGGGUGGGCUACACACGUGCUACAAUGGCCGGUACAGACGGUUGCAAACCCGCGAGGGGGAGCCAAUCCGAGAAAACCGGUCGUAGUCCGGAUUGCAGUCUGCAACUCGACUGCAUGAAGUCGGAAUCGCUAGUAAUCGCGGAUCAGCAUGCCGCGGUGAAUA
rnacentral:rRNA from 1 species